ANNAANUGCGNCUAGGAUGACGCUGGCGGCGUGCCUAACACAUGCAAGUCGAGCGAUCUUCUUCGGAAGAGAGCGGCGGACGGGUGAGUAACGCGUGGGUAACCUGCCCUGUACACACGAAUAACAUACCGAAAGGUAUGCUAAUACGGGAUAACAUACUUUUAUCGCAUGGUAAAAAUAUCAAAGCUCCGGCGGUACAGGAUGGACCCGCGUCUGAUUAGCUAGUUGGUAAGGUAACGGCUUACAAGGCGACGAUCAGUACCGACCUGAGAGGGUGAUCGGCCAAUUGGGACUGAGACACGGCCCAAACUCCUCGGGAGGCAGCAGUGGGGAAUAUUGCACAUGGGGGAAACCCUGAUGCACCACGCCGCCUGAGUUAUGACGGGCUUCGGGUUGUAAAACUCUGGCUUUGGGACGAUAAUGACGGUACCUGAAGAGGAAACCACCGCUAACUACCUGCCAACACCGCCGUAAUACUAAGUGGCGAGCGUUAUCCGGAUUUACUGGGCGUAAGGAUGCGUAGGUGGAAUUUUAAGUGGGAAUGUGAAAAACCCCGGCUCCCACCCGGGGAACUGCAUUUCCCAACUGGAAUUUCUUGAGUGGGGGGAGAGGAAAGCGGGAUUCCUCAUUGUUAGCGGGUGAAAUGCGUAGAGAUUUAUGAAAGAACACCCCCUGGCGAAAGGCGGCUUUUCUGGACUGUAAAUGAAACUGAGGCAUGAAAACGUGGGGGAGCAAACAAGAUUAAAAUAACCUGGUAGUCCCCCCCCAAACCAAGGGGACUAGGUGUAGGGGGUUUCAUACCUUUCUGCCCCCCCAAAACAAUAAGUACCCCCCCUGGGGGAGGACGGGCGCAAGAUUAAAACUCACAGGAAUUGACGGGGGCCCGCCCACAUAACGGAACAUGGGGUUUAUUUUCAAACAACCCAAAAACCUUACCCUACACUUUAC
rnacentral:rRNA from 1 species